rnacentral:lncRNA from 1 species
GUGGACCCAGAUGUGCGACAUCCGUGAUGUCACGGACCUAAUCAAGCUCAUGGGCUCUGCUUCAGUGUCCAGAGGCCAGUUCCACCCCCGCCCAGUUUGGAAAACAUUUUUAAAGAACUGUCUACAGACAUCGAUGGUUUUGUUCACCCUGGCCAUGGGGAUCUGUCAGGGUGGGCCAGACAAGGUUGCUUGCUCCUGGCGAUCCGUUCUACCACCCCAAACUGGAAGGUGUCCUCCUCCUCAACGCCGUCCUCACUGUCCGCGCACACCAAGCCAAUUCCCAUAAGGAGCGGGGCUGGGAGCAGUUCACGGAUGCAGUUGUGUCGUGGCUGAAUCAGAACCUGAAUGGCCUUGUCUUCCUCCUCUGGGGCUCCUAUGCUCAGAAGAAGGGCAGUGCCAUCGACAGGAAGCGUCACCAUGUCCUGCAGACAGCUCAUCCCUCCCCGCUGUCGGUGUACAGAGGGUUCUUUGGAUGUAGACAUUUUUCUAAAGCCAAUGAACUGCUCCAGAGGUCUGGCAAGAAACCCAUCAGCUGGAAGGAACUGUGACCCUGCGGGCAGUGUCUGUCUACAGCAGGCUUUCCAGUGCUGCUGCUGAAGCAUUCGCCCUUAGAGCGUCACUGAAAAGGCCCUGUUCUUCAGUUCCCUGUGGGAGCGGAGAAGAGAAACAGAUAGGUCUCUCUAGAACCACCAUGAGCCGCCAGGACA